rnacentral:rRNA from 1 species
GGGGGAUAACUACUGGAAACGGUAGCUAAUACCGCAUAACGUCGCAAGACCAAAGAGGGGGACCUUCGGGCCUCUUGCCAUCGGAUGUGCCCAGAUGGGAUUAGCUAGUAGGUGGGGUAACGGCUCACCUAGGCGACGAUCCCUAGCUGGUCUGAGAGGAUGACCAGCCACACUGGAACUGAGACACGGUCCAG